CAACCUCUAGCAAUGUUUCAUUAUAGUCAAUGCCUAAAAAGCUUAAUUGUGGAGGACUGUAAUGACUUGAAAUUUUUGUUUUCAUCCUCUAUGGUCAAAAGUCUAAAUCAACUCCAAGAGCUUUUGAUAAGCAAUUGAAAUUUGAUUGAAUUCCCUUUCUUAAAAGAACUUCACAUUGAGCAUUGCCAUAAUUUGAAGACAUUCUUCUGCAAAUCUUUUUAUCCAGAAAUAGAGGGAAAAGCUAAGGAAGAGGUGAACUUGGAAAAUGACUUUAUUAACGUAAACCCACUCUUCGAUGAAAAGGUUGCUUUUCCAAGUUUGGAGAAGAUGGUGCUCUUGCACUUGGAUAACUUGGAGCUGAUAUGGCAAAAACAAAAACUCCAUGUGGAUUCCUUUUGCAAACUAAAAGUAGUGAGAGUUGAAUCAUGUGAAAAGUUGUUAACUAUUGUUCCAUCUGAUACUCAAGGACAUCUCACCUUUCACAAUUUGGAGAUAUUGGAAGUUAAUAAUUGUUGGAGUAUGAAAAGUCUCUUUCCAGUUUCUACCGCUACUUGUCUCAUGCAACUUAAAGAGCUACUGAUAUACUCUUGUGGGUUGGAGAAAAUUGUUUAUG